rnacentral:rRNA from 1 species
CCUACGGGAGGCAGCAGUGGGGGAUAUUGCACAAUGGGGGAAACCCUGAUGCAGCGACGCCGCGUGUGGGAAGACGGUCUUCUGGAUUGUAAACCACUGUCCCCAGGGACGAAAAUGACGGUACCUGGGGAGGAAGCUCCGGCUAACUACGUGCCAGCAGCCGCGGUAAUACGUAGGGAGCAAGCGUUGUCCGGAAUUACUGGGUGUAAAGGGAGCGUAGGCGGGCGAGAAAGUUGAAUGUUAAAUCUACCGGCUUAACUGGUAGCUGCGUUCAAAACUUCUUGUCUUGAGUGAAGUAGAGGCAGGCGGAAUUCCUAGUGUAGCGGUGAAAUGCGUAGAUAUUAGGAGGAACACCAGUGGCGAAGGCGGCCUGCUGGGCUUUAACUGACGCUGAGGCUCGAAAGCGUGGGGAGCAAACAGGAUUAGAUACCCGAGUAGUC